GUUGAACGCUGGCGGCAUGCCUUACACAUGCAAGUCGAACGGUAACGCGGGGCAACCUGGCGACGAGUGGCGAACGGGUGAGUAAUGCAUCGGAACGUGCCCAAUAGUGGGGGAUAGCCCGGCGAAAGCCGGAUUAAUACCGCAUACGACCUGAGGGUGAAAGCGGGGGACCGAAAGGCCUCGCGCUAUUGGAGCGGCCGAUGUCAGAUUAGGUAGUUGGUGGGGUAAAGGCCUACCAAGCCGACGAUCUGUAGCUGGUCUGAGAGGACGACCAGCCACACUGGGACUGAGACACGGCCCAGACUCCUACGGGAGGCAGCAGUGGGGAAUUUUGGACAAUGGGCGCAAGCCUGAUCCAGCCAUGCCGCGUGCGGGAAGAAGGCCUUCGGGUUGUAAACCGCUUUUGUCAGGGAAGAAACGCUCUGGGUUAAUACCUCGGGGUAAUGACGGUACCUGAAGAAUAAGCACCGGCUAACUACGUGCCAGCAGCCGCCGUAACAC
rnacentral:rRNA from 1 species